rnacentral:misc_RNA from 1 species
UCUUGGAAGAGCCGAUGCGCAUCCGUGUGCACGACCAACAUACACUGAACCCUUACGGCCAUCACGAGCCCUGCUUGACUCGUGCCCUUGAGAGGACGAGUACGCCGGGGACGCAUCCAUGGGCUUCGUCGAUCGCGGAGGCGGCCGGGAGGCGAAGGGCGCGAGCCUGCGCCGAUCCAAGAACAACCCGGGUGCCCCCAUCUCGAAGAACAAGAGCGCCAAGAAGGACUACACGACCCCGGCCACACGCGCCACGCCAACGCCGCCACCCGCGUGCCUGCCGGUGCUGAAGGCCUUGAUCGCCGCCGCCUCGGCAGAGGCGGCCGCGAUGGAGGCUACGGCUGCAUCGACCGUGACUGGCUUCGAGAAGGCGCUUGCAGCCGUCCGCGAUGCUGCGCAGACCGGUGGAUCGCCCUACAUCGACGCCGCCGUGGCGCUGUUGUCACGCAAGCUGGAGGAGGAUCGAGAGGGCAUCUUUCGCCGGGCCGCCGAGGAAGGCAAGCUGGCCGCCGUGGUCUGCUGGUGUGGCGAGGUGGAGCGGCAGUCGCUGCUGCUGAGCACGUGUGUGCAGCACAACAAGCUUUACCGGGGAACUUUGGAGCAGCAGCAGCGCAGCGCCACCGGUGGUGAUGCCCGGCACGUGCACUUCAACGUCGACGGCGCCGUGGUUGCCUCCGUCACAGCCGCGGCGACGGCAUCGUCGUCGCCGGCAAAGGCCGGCAUUCUUCUGUACGCGGUGCUCGGCAUCCACGUCAACAGCAUCGACCGCGUGAACAUGCGACUGCAUGAUCAGUGGGUCAAGGAGCUCGAGGCUAACGUGAAGCACGGCGACGUUGUCGGCGUCCUCACGGGGCUGAACCUCAGUCGCGAGCACGGCACGCACUACGCGCAGGAGCGCCUGUUCAAGGAGUGCUGGCGUGUCGCGGCUGAGGUGCGUCUGCCGCUGGUGCUGCACCUGGGUGCAGCAGAUGCGGCAUCGCUCACGGAAACGGUGAACCGCGCCGUCAAGCUGCUCGACGAACUCCUCACCGCUACAUCAGCGACGGCAGACGGCGCCAGAGCCGCUCCGUCUGCAGUGGUGCUGCACAAUGGCUUGCUUGCCCUCCACGCCUCCACAGCGAUGCAGCAGCUUGUCCGUGCGCACCGCCCAGCAGCGAGGCCAACGGCGGUGUCUGUUCCGUUUUACGUACUGGCCACGGCGGACGGUCUGGCGGUGGCGAAGACAGAGGGCAGCGAAACUGAGGCGACAGCGACGGCCGACAGUGGGCCGUCGGUGGAGACGCUCGCAGCCUUGCUGCCUCCGCGUGCCGGGCUUGGCUCCGACUCUGACAGCGCCACCGCCAUCAGCAGCGGAGGAGACGCUGUCGUGCACCUCUCACAGCUUCUUAUCGGCACUGGUGCGCCCUGGGGCACGCCACAAAAUCUGCCAGACCCCUACCUCUGCACCCUGCCCAACGAGCCAGGAAACUACGCGUACGUUGUGCAGACGCUCUACGACGCGAUGCGGACACCACCACCACCGGCGGCGACGGCUGAGCUGACGCUCGCCGAUCUGUCGGCCAUCGCUGCCGUGAAUCAUCUGCUCGCCUUCUUCCACGAGUGCGUCUUGGAGCAGCAGCCGGUAGCCGUGGCUGGACUGGCCGACAGCGACGCCAAGCGCGAUCUGGAGGCGCUGCUGGCCGAGGCGGCGAAGGAACGGGAGCGGAUGGAGCAGGAGCGGCUGCGCGAGGAGGCGGCGCAAGCGCAGGCCCGCAGCGAGGAGCUGCAAGAGAAGCGCAGCAGGAGAGAGAGAAAGAAGAACGUGAAGUUGAAUAACCGGUCGAACUUCACGCACUUCCGCAACAAGGACUUUGCACCUCGGCAGAGCAAGCAGGAGAAGCUGGCGCAUCUGCGAGAGGUGGUCGGCACGGAUGUUGACGGCCGCGAGAGGUCGCCUUCGUCGUCAUCGGCGGCCUCCGACAGCGACAGCGACAGCGCCUGGGGGCCGAACAGCCUGGCGGCCCAGGUGGAGCGGCUGCUAGAGGCGAACGCUGCCCACCGCGAUCUGGAGUGCAGGGCGCAGCGGCAGCCAGCAGGCCGGGGCAAGGGGAAGGGUCAAAAUGCGUUGGCAGGGUCGAGGAAGAUGUGCAGCAGCGCAGACAUGAAGAGCGGCGGGCAGCCACAGCAGCAGCACGGCGCCCGUGCCGGCGGCAAGGUCAAGAACGGAAACCCCAGCGAUGGCAGCGAUGACGACGACGAACGAUACACGCGCACACGUGCGUUGUAGGCGAAUGCGUGCGCGUAUCGCUUCUGGCACGGAAGCAACGGAAGACGUGUAAUGUUUUGUGCAUGUGCCCAGCGCAGCGGCGGGGCUUUGGCAGCCGGUGCAGGGCGGGCAGGCAGGAGAGGUGCACGAGACCCGAUCGCGCGAACUGCUGCCUGCCCGCACAGCAGAUCCGUUGCCGGUGAGCCGCGUGGCGUCACAUCAGUGAUGAGUGCGCACGUACAUGUGUGUAAGUGUAACCGCCCCUCCCUCCGCAGCACGUGAGUCGACUGCAAUGAUAGGGCGGUGUCAAGCUGCUCGGCGCGCUUGAGUGUGCGCCUGGAUGAUCGUAGAGAGAGAAGGGGGGCGGGGGCGUGCGACCAUCGCUGCGGCGGUGGUCCCCUCGCCGCGCGGAGAGGGAGCAGUGGAGAGAUGUCUCCAUCUCCCGGGCACACCCCUCCUCUGCCGCGCAUCCGCACCCAGCAGCUGUGUGCCUUCUCUCGCACCACAGCCGUCUCACCAUCGCCACCUCCUCAACCCACCUCCCCAUCUGCCUCUGUGUCUGUGUGUGUGUGUGUGUGUGUGUGUGUGUGUACGGCGGUGCGCAG